rnacentral:rRNA from 1 species
CAAUAGCGUAUAUUAAAGUUGUUGCGGUUAAAAAGCUCGUAGUUGGAUUUCUGUUGGGAACGACCGGUCCGCCCAUUGGGUGUGUAUCUGGCUUGUUCUCGGCAUCUUCUUGGUGAACGUUGCAGCACUUGACUGUGUGGAGCGCUACCCAGGACGUUUACUUUGAAAAAAUUAGAGUGUUCAAAGCAGGCUUUAUUGAGCCCGGAUACAUGAGCAUGGAAUAAUGGAAUAGGACCGCGGUUCUAUUUUGUUGGUUUCUACGACCGCAGUAAUGAUUAAGAGGGACAAUUGGGGGCGUCCGUAUUUCGUUGUCAGAGGUGAAAUUCUUGGAUUUACGAAAGACGAACAACUGCGAAAGCAUUCGCCAAGAGUGUUUUCAUUAA